rnacentral:rRNA from 1 species
AGAGUUUGAUCCUGGCUCAGGAUGAACGCUGGCGGCGUGCUUAAUACAUGCAAGUCGAACGGAGGGUUAGCAAUAACUCUUAGUGGCGAACGGGUGAGUAACGCGUUGGUGACCUGCCCCGAAGACAGGGAUAACAGUUCGAAAGGACUGCUAAUACCCGAUGAGGUUGCGGAAGUUAGAGGUUUCGCAACGAAAGGAGCGAUCCGCUUUGGGAGGGGCCUGCGUCCCAUCAGCUAGUUGGUAAGGUAAAGGCUUACCAAGGCGAAGACGGGUAGGGGACCUGAGAGGGUGAUCCCCCACACUGGCACUGAAACACGGGCCAGACACCUACGGGUGGCAGCAGUAGGGAAUAUUGCACAAUGGGCGAAAGCCUGAUGCAGCAACGCCGCGUGCGCGAAGAAGGCCUUCGGGUUGUAAAGCGCUUUUCGGGGAGAUGAGGAAGGACAGUAUCCCCGGAAUAAGGCUCGGCUAACUACGUGCCAGCAGCCGCGGUAAAACGUAGGAGCCAAGCGUUAUCCGAAUUCACUGGGCGUAAAGCGCGUGCAGGCGGUCUGGUAAGUUGGAUGUGAAAUCUCCUGGCUCAACUGGGAGAGGCCGUUCAAUACUGUCAGGCUAGAGGGCGACAGAGGGAGGUGGAAUUCCGGGUGUAGUGGUGAAAUGCGUAGAUAUCCGGAGGAACACCAGAGGCGAAGGCGACCUCCUGGGUCGCACCUGACGCUCAGACGCGAAAGCUAGGGGAGCGAACGGGAUUAGAAACCCCGGUAGUCCUAGCCGUAAACGAUGUAGACUGGGUGUCGGCGGGGUAAAAGCCGUCGGUGCCGAAGCCAACGCGAUAAGUCUACCGCCUGGGGACUACGGCCGCAAGGUUAAAACUCAAAGGAAUUGACGG